rnacentral:rRNA from 1 species
GGGGAAUAUUGCGCAAUGGGGGACACCCUGACGCAGCAACGCCGCGUGCGGGAUGAAGGCCUUCGGGUUGUAAACCGCUUUCAGCAGGGACGAAUGACUUCUGCCGGUACCUGCAGAAGAAGCACCGGCUAACUACGUGCCAGCAGCCGCGGUGAUACGUGGGGUGCGAGCGUUGUCCGGAAUUAUUGGGCGUAAAGAGCUUGUAGGCGGUCCGUCGCGUCGGAAGUGAAAACUCAGGGCUUAACCCUGAGCCUGCUUUCGAUACGGGCAGACUUGAGGGAUGUAGGGGAGAACGGAAUUCCUGGUGGAGCGGUGGAAUGCGCAGAUAUCAGGAGGAACACCAGUGGCGAAGGCGACUUUCUGGACUACAACUGACGCUGAGGCACGAAAGCGUGGGGAGCAAACA